rnacentral:lncRNA from 1 species
GGUUGUCUUAACUGUUGUUUUUCUAGCUGUCGUUUCUUGAUUUGGCAACAGUUGUUUCCAUAGCUCUCUACUUAUUACUCAACUUCUUUCUUCUCUGCUCUGCUCUGCUCUCUGUGUUUUUUCACUCAACAUGGUAAUGGGUCAAUAUCAGACAACGAAGCACAACAUGGCUGCCUUGCCUUUUAUUCUGGACAACAAGACUGUUUUCCAAAUUUUGGUCUAAUAGCACCUCUUCCGAAUAAUACUUUGUUGUACUUUAGAAGAGUCAUAUUAUCAGAAAUGUUUAUUCUCGAGAUGUCUGUAUUUGUUGACAAUAUCAGUUUUACUUUGUACAUUGAUAUCUCAGAGAUGCAGGUGAGGUAGUAACAUCAGUGUCCAGAUUGUGAAUAUAGGAUGAUGGGACAAUGUCCAUUUCAAUAGUACCAUGUGUCUGUUAAAAACUUGGUCGCAACAACCUUAUUUUCAACAACCUUAUUUUAAAAAUCACAACAAUUAUGGCAAAUAAAUAAAUAUGAAUUAAUACUCAACGAAAUCAAAGUGAUAAAAUUAUUUAUAUUUUUCCUUUUAAAUUUAGAAAAUUAACGUUUUGAAGUUCUUCUCCUGUGACCAUUACUGUGUCACUUGUACAAAACUAUAUUUAAAUCUAAGAAAAUAAAUUUUGAAGUGAAAUCAUUAAAUUCUAAAUCAUGAGGUGUUGUUCUGCUUGGUGGAGCCACUUGUCUGAUAUUGGCCUCUCAAAUAUGAUGGAAUGGUAUUGUUCUGUUCAAUAUUGUCUGCAUUUUUUGCUUGCAAAAUGAUUGGCUGGUGUUGAGUUGACUUCUUUGGAUUAGUCACAUAUUUUUGUUGUUGUUGUUAUUAUUGUUGUUGUUGAUGUAUUUUUAUCCCCCUACUCCAUCCCCUGUCCACUUUUCUUCCAACUCAAGUUUCACUUGGAUGUUCCAUCAUUAAUAUUGUGAUCCUCCUCGUGUGUAUCACCAGUUCUAAUUGUAGGUAUUUUAUAAGAUAUAUACCGCACACACACACACACACCCCUCACAUUCUAUCUUAAAAGUAAAGUUAGUAUUUAGACAGGUUUAUUAUGAGAUAAAGACUCCCUCAUCUUACUUAUGACUGAACUUCCGGGACCAUACUAUUCAAUGACAGAACUCUUAUGACUUAGUCAGUGUGAUAAAUGACUGGCUUUGCGUUAUGACAACUGUUAUGAUUGCCUUAUUCGACAACCCAAGUUUCAUAACAGACUUAUACUUCUCUGACUGCCUUAUUUGUGUACCUAUUAUGACUGUCCUGUUUAAUGUCUCAGAUCAUAGCUAUGAUGUGUUGAUGCAUAUUCCUCAAUCUCAUGCACACACACACACACACACUGCUACUUGGUCAGAUAUGUGGGUGUUAUCCACAAAUCCUUAAUUUCCAGAUUUAUCAUUUUACAUAAACUUUCCCUGAUGGAAUUCUCGGAAAUCCGUUCUCUAUUUAUUGUAGAGACUUUGUAUAAAAUGCAGUGGAAUGUCUUGUGUUGUGACUGACAUUCAGACCAUGGCAGUCCAACUGAAAUGGUUGUCUUGCUUGUAAAAGACUGAUUUAAUUAAUUUAGAUACAACUAAUAUUAAAUAGUUCUCACAAUGUCCUCCCCAUUUUUUUUUAUACGACAUAUUUGAUGGCUAUUCUACAGACUUAUUAGCACCACAUUCUUAGCUGACCGUUCUUGGAAAGUCGUUCCCCCAUCUCAGAUCUAAUCGUGAUUACAAGACUGUUUUGAAAGAUAUCGAGUUUUCUUUAGAGUUCUUGCUAUUCUUCUGCAUUUGCCAAACUUUGAUUGGACACAAAAUUCUCAAAAUGCUACAACACAUACAAACUCUUUUAUAGUUUGAAGAAUUUUAAAAUGGCUUUGCUUGUUGGAGGCAUCACAAACUUACUGCAUGACUUUGCAUUAAUUAGUCUUUGUUAAUUUGGUUCUUUCUCAGAUAUUUAAUUGCAUCAAAGUUUACGAUAACAUUGUUCUCCGUAGUCUUCUCUGCACGUUUGUUGUUCGACUUGACCACGUCCCAGGUACCCCCCCUCCACUGGUCUCUAUUGUUGCAUCAUUCAAUCCGACAUAAUGUCGUAGUUAUACUAACAACCGAAGUAGUUACCUUGGUGUUGUGUUAUUGGUAAACUGUUGCAUGCUAGUUAACUAACUACGACUGAUAAAGUGUGAUUAAUUUGUGACGAACAGUGUGUGUGUGUGUGUGUGAGGAACUGUGGAAGGAAAAGGAUUGAAUUAAUCUUUUAUUAAUUUGUGUAACAUUUUAAUUCUUUAAUUAGACUGUUUUAUAAUUAAACACAAUUUGUUGAGAAUGUUAAUUAGUUUUCAUGAAGGAUUUGUAGAUAAGGAUUACAUGAUUUAUAUGUUGUUUAUUAAUAAUCUAGAAUAGGUGGUAUUUUGUAGAUAAUUCUAAUUAUUAAUUAUAUAUUUAACUUGGAUAUUAAUUAGUGAGAAUUUGGAUUACAUAUUUCUUAGAAAUUCUUCAAGAAAUUCUUGUCAGUUCUUGAAAUGUUCAUUAUCACUUUAUCAUUCUCCAUUUUCUUUCUCAAAACUUCAUUAUUUCAUUAAAACACGAUGAGAUGGCCAACUCAUUACAGUGCUUUGAGCUCAGCACUCAUCUUUGCCUUUGGUCAGAGGUUAAAGUACAGACAGAGGAUUGAUGUAACUGUUGGAGAGUUGGAUGUGAUGUGUUGCUGUAUCAGUUCUAAGUCUGAGCUGAAAUUCUUCCUCUUGUCACUUGGGCAGUGGAGGAGAGGGACCAACAGACAGAAUCAGCAAUUAAAAAAAAAAAAAACCAGUGGAAACACAGUUUCCUUGUUUCUGCGGAAAAUUUGUGACUCGAUGAUGAUAGCAUUAACUUGGAUGAGAUUUCUCAGAGACACCCAUUACUCACCUUAGAAUAUUUAAUAUUGGCCCCUUUUUUCUAAUAGAAACUACCUCAGGAAACAUCAUUUCAGAGAGGUCACUCACGAAAACUCCUUUCAAAGGAAUCCUCUUGAAACACAACCAGUCGAGGGAACCUUUGAAGAUUCUUCACUUUGCUGUUUCCCGUUUGACGCAGAGUCCUUAAAUCUGUUUGUCUUGGAACCAUUAUUGUUGAAACCAAGCAGAAGAAUUUAUUGAGAAAUGUCUGAAAACACAACUUAUUGGCUGUGGAUUGAUUCUACCCACCUCUCACCCCAAACAUCAAUAGGUAGGGUUAAUCAAUCCUAAUGGUUUAGAGGAGUCUAGGGUGGUGUGUGGGGUUGAGGCUGUCUUAUAUGUUCUGGCUAUUGAAUGAAUCUUUAUUUCAUGUUACUUCAGUCCAUUCAGCUGGCAAACAGGAGUGUUACCUGUAAUAUAAAGGGAGCCAGCCUUGUCACAUUCUGUGUCACUCUGAAUCUCCUUGAAGAACUACGUUAAGGGUGCACGUAUCUGUGGGGUGCUCAGCCUCUUGCACGUUCAUUUCAUGAGUUGGCUGUUCCAUUGACUGAAUCAGCUGAAACCAUUGUCUUUGUAACGAACGGAGGGCCAAGCCAUUGUCUAUGUGUCAGAAUAUUUAAAAAAUGCUAGAUUAUGUUUGAUGUGGAAUAAAGAAGUGUGGCUUGCUGUUGAACAUGUACCAGUGAAAACUGAGGUGCUUACAUGUGGCACUGAAAACCAAAUCAAGGCUCUCUACUCUAUAGUCAAAAUAUAUAUAUAUUUGAAUGUUGACCUUUUGAUCAUUGCCCAAUGAUCUUCAGGCUCCAGUCUGAUCUGGCAGAGUUUCUACAGCUAGAUGCCCUUCCUAAUGCCAACCACUCCAUGAGCGUAGUGGGUGCUUUUUACAUGCCAGUCACGCGGUACUGGCAAUGACAAACCAUUCAGCCGUGUCUCGGGAACCAUCAUGUUUGGUAGAAUCACAGGUGCCUGUGAGGAGGAACAUGUCUCAGCAGAGGGCUUAUCGUGAUGAUGGUAACAUCACAUGCUCAUAACUGACCGUCGUGGGCAGAACUUGUCGGGAGAAUCACCUGAUGAGACAAGGGAAAGCAAGGGGUUGAUGCGAUGGUGGGUGGGGAGUCAAAGAAUGUAUCCAUGGUAAUGUAGCAAGACGGGUUUAAUAAAUCUAUUAAUGUUUUAUGGUGUUGUUGUUGAUGUUGUUCUAAAUGUUAUUUGUGUCUGAGACAAUGGGAGUUGCCUCACUUUUAGCAGGCAGCUACCCUCUUCAGCAGAUGAAGCCAGGUUGAAAGAUAGUCUUUUUCUAGUCCUAGAGACAAGUUAAUCAUACCUUCAUAUUUCAGGUUUUCAUCAGCAUCAUCAUAGUCAUCAUAAUCAUCAUCAUCAAACAAUAUUCUCCUCCUCAUCAUCAUCUUCCUCUUCCUCCUCCUCCUCCUCAUCAUCAUCAUCAACAUUGCAAUCAAAUAUUUUCCUCUUCCUCUUCCUCAUUUAACUUUGCAAUCAAAUAUUUUCCUCUUCCUCCUCCUCCUCAUCAUCCUCUCCUUGUUUUCUAGCAUCUGAUAUGACUACAUCUCCUGCUCACCCUCACCAGUUGCACCCUCUGUCCAGCUACGGAUUCUUGGUCCAAAUCUACCCUUAUUUCUCACCCCAAACUAACUCCCUUGAACUAACAUCAAUUGGACUUGAAGAUCCAAGAAAAGGGAUCAGCCCUCAAUCAAAUAUCUCUAAACGACUGUUACCCCACCACCUCAUCACUAAAGGACUACUCCCCCUCUUUCCUUUGAAACACACCCUACUCUAUUGUCUUCCCCCCUCACCUCCUAUAUAGAGGACUCUGCUGUUUCUCUCCCCCACCGCCUCUCUUGUGUAGAAAACUUUACUUUGCAAAUUCUCGUCUUGUGGGAUUCAUGCCAGUUUCCAGGCCAUGUUGCUCCCUGUUCAUAUCUUUGAAUGUCUGGGGUUAUUCCAUCCACCUUGAUCUCACCAAAAGUCACACCUGUCCUAAUUAAUCUACAUUAUUCGUUAAUCUUCAAGAGUCAUUUGGGUGCGUGAAGUGUUGUUCUUUUGAUUGCAGAGGAGUUGGGGGGGUCUUCAAAUGAACCACUGCCACCACCACCACCACUACUACUACUACUACCUUGUGAGUAAUGGCUGAGGUGGUGGUGUGCGAGGAGUGGAUGUAGCAGUGGUGGUGGUAGUGUUUCUCUGGAUGGCUGGCACAGAAGCCAGAAUCUUCCAAGAAUUGUCCUUGCUCUGGAAUAUGGAUGACUGAGUGUGUUGGUUGUGGUGGGCGAGGGACUGGAGAGGAUACAUUGGGAAGGGGGAGUUAUGGAGAAGGAGGAUUGCAUUACAGUGUUUGAUGAUGAUGAUGAUGGUGGUGGUGAUUGGUUGGUUAGUGAGGGGUAAAAGGAGUGGGUGAGUUUGUGGGGAAACAAUCUCUUCUGAAAAUAACACCAGCCGAUGAUGAGCUUGGAUGUUGAGGCCAGUGCGAGUGAUGGGAGGUGAUAGCUUGAGUGAAAGAAUGGUCCAAGAUGAACUUGACCACUGAGAAAAUGGUUAAUGGCAAUCCAAAGAAAUGUGUGAAAUGUUUUGCAAAUAUUUCCAUUUUAUAUGAAAUAUUUAGGUUUGUCAUAGAAGACAACUCAAGGCUUCCUCACAUGAAACAGUUUUGGCUGGUUGAGUGUCACUCAACACUCAAGUGUAGGACCACAGUAUUGGAUUUUGAAGUUGACAUCUGUCAGUAAUUAAAACGGGUCCUCAGAGCCUUUUAUUUACCUAUUUAACUGGAUGAGAGAGACCCUAUAACAUCAGGCUUAGAAUCUACCCCCUGCAGAAGUCAUCCCUCACAAUCUCCAAUUCUAGGGUCCGCUUCCAAAAAAGCAUUAUUAACAGCCAUAUCAAAUGUUCCUAUGAUGUUGCUAGUUAGAACACUGUAGCUAGAAGUCAUUAGUUAUCGGCCUGGGGUUCACACUCACACAACAGACUGUGAGGGUGAUGGUGGAGCGAUGGGGGGUAAUGUCUAGUGUCUUUACUAAUCAUUACAGGAUGGCUGCUGCUACUGCUGCUGUUGUUGUUAUCCCCUGGUGCAGUUGUGUUUUGUGGUUAUCUGCCCUUGUUUUAUUUUGCAUGUUCCUUUGCAUGGUCCCAACGCUUGCUUAUUGAGCUUCGGAUUUCCUCUUCAAAGUUUUCUUAUAUUUUGCCAGGUUCUGCAUGAUUUACCAUUUCCUCAAGUUCUGCAUGAUUUUACCAUUCUUUAAUCAAUGUGAUUUGUGUCUCAGUUGAUUUGUUUUAUAUACUUUUGUUGUUUUUAUAUUUGUUUUUUGGUUUCUGACGAAUCCUGUAGAAUUGUCUCCAGUUCUGUUCCAAGACUAUCAGACAUCUCAAAGAUUGAAUAUUUCUCAUAGAUUGGUAACACGACACUUUUAAAGCCUCUAUUUGGCUUCUUGGCCUGCUAGAUGUAGCAGUCUAAUUUGUAUUAUAUCUCACAAAAGGGAAGGACACAUUGAUAUACUUUUUGAAAAAGUGAGGUGGGAUUGUCAUGGCUGGAAGGCUUUUGAUCAAAGGUCUAUGGAAUCAGGGCUAAGCUGAGGUUGAACAAAAGGUAGGUUUUAAAUGGUUGAUAACACUCCGACCCCAAAGCCUGUGUUUGAGUUUUACUUCUGUCACUAAUUACUUUCAGAAAGGCAUGACCAUCACAACUUUCCAUUCCAAGGAAUCUGAAAUGCCAAACCUCUGUAAGAGUUCUUUCUUUGAUUCCUCACAAAUAUUGUUGGGUCAAUUUACUUGGAAUCUGCUUAAUUUGACCUUUCCCUUGCCUUGGCUCCUCACCUGAUUGAUGGGGCCACAAGGAGCACAAUCCAGGUAUCUUUAGACCUGGUGGAGCUCAUUCCUCUCCAGGUCAUGAGGAUUUCUUUGAGAAAAGAGAAUGACAAACAGAAAGCAAAAGAAAGAGU